UACAGAGGUCCCAAGCGUUGUUCGGAUUCAUUGGGCGUAAAGGGUGCGUAGGCGGCGCGGUAAGUCGGGUGUGAAAUCUCGGAGCUUAACUCCGAAACUGCAUUCGAUACUGCCGUGCUUGAGGACUGGAGAGGAGACUGGAAUUUACGGUGUAGCGGUGAAAUGCGUAGAUAUCGUAAGGAAGACCAGUGGCGAAGGCGGGUCUCUGGACAGUUCCUGACGCUGAGGCAC
rnacentral:rRNA from 1 species